GUCUUCUAUGAAGCUAACCAACUUCAUAACUUUGCCAGUGCUUUCGCUGUCUUUUUUCGGCUCCUUUUAUGUGUUCAAUCUGGAGUAUCAGGAGUCAGCAUCCACUACGCUGGAGAUGGUACAGAGAUUCUUUGUCAGGAUCAAUCCUGAAGAGGGCACAAAGUGCACUGCAAAAUUCGGUACAAGCCGUAAGACAGGUGGAACUGUACAAAAGAAAAGUUGCAACCAUCAACUCCCGGGUAGCAACAUUCCUGCAGAGGCUUACGGAAUUUGAAUGGAAGACUGCAAAUUAGAAAGGAAUUGAUGCCACCUGACACCAGUGAUCUGCUGUGAUUGGUGGAGUGGAAGUUUGGAACUGUUUUGAAGUGCAU